rnacentral:lncRNA from 7 species
GGUGCGCCAAUUUUGUCGGACCGUUGUGGCCGCCCCGACCCCCCACGCGUGCAAAAAUCCAUCCACGGGAGCUCUCGUUAUCUCGUUUCCUCACACCGGUACCCACCCUUGAGACCCUUACCAUAGCAGAGAGAGAUAGGGCGGGGCUUGGGGUGGCCGCCGCACAGCAAUCGGGUCCACCCGGCGUUCGAGCAUCCACUGAGGGUUUGGGGAGUUCCUCUGUGGUGCUUGGUGGGUGCUUACGGCCAUGGGUAGAGGAAUCGACCAUCGGGGUGACCAGAAUUUCUCACUGUGCUUCGGACUCCGCCGCGCUCGGCGAGCAGAGGACAUCGACGUGCUAAUCAAGACGAACAAGUGACCGAUGACCCAAGUGUUCAGCAGG